rnacentral:rRNA from 1 species
UACGUAGGGUGCGAGCGUUAAUCGGAAUUACUGGGCGUAAAGUGUGCGCAGGCGGCCGAGCAAGUCGAGUGUGAAAUCCCCGGGCUUAACUUGGGAAUUGCGCUCGAAACUACUUGGCUUGAGUGUGGCAGAGGAAGGUGGAAUUCCACGUGUAGCGGUGAAAUGCGUAGAUAUCUGGAGGAACACCGGUGGCGAAGGCGGCUCUCUGGGACGGUACUGACGCUGAGACGCGAAAGCGUGGGGAGCGAACAGG